rnacentral:tRNA from 1 species
GCGGGUAUCAUAUAACGGCUAUUAUCCCAGUUUUCCAAACUGGUGACACGGGUUCGACUCCCGUUACCCGCUCAA